GAUUUCUUGGUUUAGAUGGUUACACGCCUGUAUAACUCACAGGCGGUCGCCGGUUCGAGACCGUAGAAGUCA